UAUCCUUUGCUUCAGCCACUCCUACAUGCACCCAUAAAAUUCUUGCUGUGCACUUGUAUUGGGGAAUUCCUGGGUUCUCUAUGAGAAGGCUGAUUGUGAGGUGAGCACAGCAGUCUUCUGUGCCAGUGCAGAAAGAAAAUGGAACAUUUUUGCCUGUAGUUUGUGCACUGGAAAAGUUUAGAAGUGAACAUUGGUUAUCUCAGACUGGCCCUUAACCUAGCUCUCAUUUGUCAGUUCAUGUCCUGCGGAAGCAGAAAGAGAUGUUGGAUUGGAUAUUUCAUGUGUAAGGAAUGGAAUGAAUGAAAGCCAGCUGAUCUUUAUGGGAGAAAUGGACUAAAUGGCAUCACUAAUGGAUUUAGGAGAAUGAGGACAGCUGGAAUGGAUUAGUGAAGAGGGUCAGAGUCAGUAAGGUAUUUCAAGGCGUGAACAAGAAUUCAAUAUGCAAUCCAUUUGGAGUCGAUAAGAACAAUGUGGAUGUUAGCAUGUAGCAAACCCCCUCAGGUUUUUCUUUUUUUUUAAACUUAAAAAUGCAUUCCCUCUCCAUCCCCAACCUUUUCUGACUUUCUCUCUGCCCUUUCUAUCCCAUAUAAAUGAUUACAAAUAAUACUAGGUAAGCUAAGAUAAG